CAAACGACUCUCGGCAACGGAUAUCCCGGCUCUCGCAUCGAUGAAGAACGUAGCGAAAUGCGAUACUUGGUGUGAAUUGCAGAAUCCCGUGAACCAUCGAGUUUUUGAACGCAAGUUGCGCCCGAUGUCUUUAGGCUGAGGGCACGUCUGCCUGGGUGUCACGU
rnacentral:rRNA from 1 species